rfam:Nomascus leucogenys chromosome 9, whole genome shotgun sequence.
AAAUAGGCUUUAUUAAAAGCUAUCAAUCUGAUCUUAAACUAUUCU